UCAGCUAGGCAAUGUGUCUCGACUGUUAGUACUCCUUUAAGGAUAUAGGCCUCUGUGGACUGUGAAUGCACCUGUAACUCUGGCAGAGAAUCAAUUAUCGCCACUUUUUACAGGACAAAAGAAUCACUGAGUUCGAUUCUGUGGUGUUGAAAAAUGAAAAAUCAAGUCUCUUCAGCUCCAUUAUUUAGAGACACAGAAUGUAUUUGUACUUCGAUCUCUAGCAGGGAAAAUAGGUUUCUGCAGUUCCGACGUUUACAAAGCGAGAAGAUUAAUUAAAAGCAGCCAGAGCUCCAUUCCCAAUCCGACCAGAACACUUGAACCUGUGGGAGAAUGUGGGAGCCAUCUGCACAGAUCUUACAGACGCAGAGAAGGAAGCCAAGAUGGAGGUAACAAAAAUGGUGGACUGAUGAUGGCAUAGCGAGACAGUGGCACCCUGCUUGUUGUGACGUCAGUCUGGUGCUCAUUGACAACCAAUCUCUGAUAGCCGAUAAAGGCCAGCAAGGAAGUGUCACGUCAGACAUUUUGUUUUGAUCGGAUUCUGCGAGCUCCAAGAAUAUUCUUGAGAGGGAAGAAUCCAUAGUGAAGCAAAAUGUGUUCUCAAACACUUUUGUUCAAAGUUGCAUAUAUCCCAGAAUUGCAUGUAGUUUUUCUCCUCCAUGGUAGACAAUUAUCAAGAAAUUCUUGUCGUUUUCAACCGACACUCUCCGAACCUAAAAAAAGUUCUGAAAUCAGGGUGAGAAAUUGUCUGGGGCAGGGGGAGACCGAUCAGAUCGUCCCUCCUGAGUGCUUGUCGAUAAGUGAAGUCAUGUCUUUCCUAUUAUCGACAGAAGCAGAUAUCUAUCACACUUCUGGCUGAGCCUCAAUGACCUCUACAAAGUCCUCUCUCCCCCUCCAUCUUUCUCUCUCUCAGUGUCACCAAUGCUCAUUCAUCUGCCUUCUAUACCUACAAAAUCCCUUAAUUUGCCUGCAUAAAUGAGUUUCCAUAUUUUCUGAUAUCGACGCCCAGGGACAUUAACUUCCGAUUUGCAAUUUGUCUGGCGAGCGUUACUCACUCAACAGCUUUUCUUACCAACGGUUAGAGCUGGCAAAAGCUCAGCCACACCGCGGUGUGAGGACUGAACUCAUUCCCUCCCUCCCAUCCACUGCACGCGCAGUAUGCAAUAGAGGGAGAGAGAAAAAAAAUGGCGAGCGUUUUGUUAAAGUUGUGGGAGAAUACUGGCAGACACCUAGCAUCUCUCGCAUGCAGCUGAUCGUCGUGAUCCAGCCAAGAGGUUGCCGACCCCGUAGAACUGCCGCAACCCUCCGUACCGCCGUGCGAGCUGCUGCUACGUCAGAGCCGUUACCUGUGAUUGACACUACAACUGCAGCAACGUCUCUCCUCCAACACCGACUGCGUGCAGCAAGCCAUGUUAGCAAGUGAACACGACUGAACCAAUGAACGGCCACGCUGUCUUGACAGCAACGAAAGCCAACAGUCUUUUUUUGUGUGUUUUCCGUUAUUAAUCUCAGCGGCAGCGACGUAGAGAAGGGAGAUGUUGCGCGGAUGAAAUUCCACAAGGAUGCAAAUUCUUGCAAGUGGAUUAUUGCGAGUGGGUCUGGCAAGUGCAUCCGGUCGAGGGAGUCUGCAACAAACAGAAAGCUUCAGACGAUGGUAAAACCAUACCCCUAUGCCAUGGCUCAACUAGGAAAUGUUCUCACUAAUCCACAUACCCAACUCCGUGUGCCAUUCAGGGCACUUCAAUUUAAGAUCUAACAACACAUCAUCACUAUCGCCAUCUUCAUUGUCUUCUUCGGAAGCGUCGUCCAGAGCAGAAAAAAGCGAGUCGGUCGACAACUGUGAGCCAUGUAUCAGAGAGUCGGUCGACAACUGAUAGCUAUGCAUCAGUGUGAACACGUUUUCAAACCUUAGCUGCACAAUUGUGAGAAUGACAAUGACAAUAUUUCAUUGAUCCGCGUGGACAGUGUACACCACCGGAGCUCGUUAAUAAUUGAAAUCACCGCACCUCGUCCUGUCAUCAGACAACAGAUAAUGGCAUUAGCCGGUCACAGCCACUUAGGGACAGGAGAAAAUAACAUAAAGCAAGUAGAAACAUAACACAGGAUAAUACAUUCUGCAUCGAAGGUCCCCCCCAACAGCGAGUCACGACCUGCCAUGGGCUGCAGCUCCAGCAAGCACCUGACGACCUCUUCUUCCGGGAAAAAGAAACAGCCCCGCCACAAACAGCUGCAGGAAGACAUGUCUUCACAGGGGGUGACAUCCAGCACGUGGGUGGAGCAGUCCAGCCUCAAGACAGGCGUCGGGGCGAUCUCCAUCUCCGCGCCCGAGCGGGGAUCCGGGGACUGUGACGUCACGCUUCCAUCGCCCACUUCCGCUGACAGCGUCGACGUCCAGCUGGCAUGCGCGCCCUCUGGUGGUGGGAGCAGCUGCGAGGAGACGCUGGCGAUGUCUGGUGGUGGAGGUUUGGACGCCCCGCUGCUGCUCGCCUCUUGACUAUAGGUGGCGCCUCCGUCAGCACCUGAAACAGGGUUCCACAAAUAUCCCCAUCUCUGGGACUGCCUUGAGAAAUCUUCUACAAGAUGUCUGCCUUUAAGUCCGCAAAGCACUAAACAGAGAAGCAAAUAUAGUGUACAGCUGGAAGGAAGGAGCAGAUGAAGUUCGCCACAGCUGUAUUCGUUGAACAACGGACAGCUGUCAGAUAUGUUCCCUAAUUAAUGUUCUCCAGACACCUCCUCCUGUCUACUCCGGCGUCGGCCUCAAGAAAGCCCUGAAGGGAGAUCAAACAAUGUUGCGCCUGGUCACACAGCCAAACCAAGCUAUUGAUAAUGCAGUUUGACCCUGUUCUGACCCAAAAGAACCAUGGAGGUGAUCAUGAUUCGUACUAAUUAGUCACUGGUCUUGCAUGUGGGAAGUUCGAAGUAGUUUCUUCAAGCCCUUGGUCUCGAAAGUUGGAUUAUCUUCCCCUACGUCUGUAAGCAGCGGGUCUUUGUCGCACAUUAAAGACACACCAGACUACGUGAAUAAGGCCGUCCAAAUAUUUCGCAGUUAUGUGCAGAUUGGGAUACUAUUAUAGGGCAAAUGAUAUGGAAGGCAAGCGGAACAAAUCUACUGGAAAAGUGGGAAAGUUGCUGUACAGCGAUAAAACGUUGGCAUCGGGAACAAAAUCAGUAUUGUGAAUUCUCCUGACGCUUCGUCCCACAAUGGCACAACAUCGUCAUCAACUCAGGUAUCAACAGAGAAGCGGACCUCUUGAGAACACCCAAACUUUUAAAGACUUGACAUAUUACAGAAGUCAACCUUUGCUGCUGACACCAAAAGUAAAAGAAUUUAAUUCUUUUUGAUGCACGUAUGGCGAAACCAGAAGACAUGGUAUUACAACGCCACCUUAACGUGUAUAAAACUGAAAAGUGGUCUGCCAUUGAAAUGACCACAGCUGACGAUGAGACUAUGGGAAUGCGACCUCAAAAUAUUUCAGACCUGUUUAUUUCCGGCACCUGAAAACUUGAUGUGCAGGAAAUCAAUAGAACCGCCUUAUCUUAAAAAGUACGCUCAAGCAAAAAAGCAAAGCAAGCCACUGAGCUUGCUAAAACUCACACGGCUUACCAAAGCAAAGCCUAGCUCGACGAAAACUGAUUUUUUUUUUUAAGCAGAAAAACGUGACACAUGUACGAGGGGAAAACUCAAAAACUGACGCCACGUGUGUAUGUAGGCCUAAUUCACUUUAGUUGAGGCAUUCGCAAUGCAAACGUAUCCAUGUACAAUUCUGACGUCAGUUGCGUCUUUCUGUACAUGCCGAUGGUUGUAAGCUUGUAUCUUGAGAAUGGAGGGGGGCAUUCACCCAGCUUGCCCUGAGCUUUACCCAAUAAUUACAAAAAAAUUUACCUCACUAAUCCUUUCAUGACAUGCCUAGAGACGGCAACAAUUUUUUCACAAGAUUCUGUGCUUAAAUUGUCAACAACUGCUGCUCUGAAUCUCACACUUGCAUCACUGUACGUCGAACUGCAAAGAAAAAGAACAUGUCGUGAGUUCCUUCAAAGCUCUAAAGGCACAGCUGUUGCCGUCAAAAAUAUUUCAGAUUUCCCUAAAACCCUUUUCAUGGAAAAGACAUCUAAACCAGUUGCAGUGUGCGUACGUGCGUGUCCACACACCCAGCCGACACUCAACAAUUCAUUAAUUCACUCGUCCCUAAACUGAUACCAACUGACAAGUGGUUAUGCUGGUUUGUACUGAUCGUCGGGAGGUGAGAAACUGAAUAGAUCGACGCAGUGGAUGAAAGCCAGCCAUUUCUUUUUGCUUCAGCGGUAGUGAGCAGGUGCUGAGUGGUCGACAAGUCCACUCCUUCACAUCUGCUCUGUCCACUUCGGCGUCGAUUGUCCUUUCAAAGCAUUCUGUGUCUUACUGUCAGGCUGCGCUACAUGACUUGUGAGAAGACGCUCUUGGUGUCCUCAAAGGGACUCAAUAUCGUACAAAAUCAAUGGUUUUCUGUAGGAGAUCUUAAACAACCUCCUCAGGCACGUGUUCUAGAAUCUAGAAUGUAUCGGCAAGUAGCGUCCACGUCCAAAUCCCUACAGUAAGAUGGGAACUACGAGGGACUUUUACAGUCUGUACAUCGUAGGAAGCCUCAUGCUAUUGCUGCGCACGGUUCCGUCUACCCUUGCAAUUGCAGCUGUCGUUGUUGCGAGCGUCGUGUGGAUGACUGAAAUUCAACCACCGUCUGUACUUAAAGCUGUUCACCUCUUCGAGCUGUAAGAUCUUGGCACGACAAAGAAGGAUAAUCCACGUGGAAUUAAAGUGAUGAUGGGGGUUUGGUAAAUUACCGCCCUUUUUCAUGUUUAGGUUAAAAAGUUAAGGAUCCUCACAGCCUAUAAUGAUUAUAAGAGAAAUAAAUGUAAGUGAUUUACUGUCCAGGGUGGAGCCCAAGCCUUUUCCUCUGCUGCUUUUAACUUCUCGGAAAGAUCAAGAAAUGGAAAGCUGUCAGAUGAGCAGGGCUCAGGAUUGCUAGUCCUGAACCUCGCGCUCUAGCCGCACCAAACGGUAUAUUCUGACUUAAGACAGCACAAAAUGAUGAAUGAAAUGUUAAUUUUCUGACACUGGCCGUAACCACGCAUAAAGUUCGGUGAAUUUUCGAUAAAGCUUUGUUCAUUACAGUUCUGAAGUAAUGAAGUUUCUGAAUCAUUCUUUCUAAAUGGGUUUUAGGAAUCAGCAGCUCUGCCAUGCUAAAAACUGCUGACGUCACAGACCUCUAAAGACUGACACGUGCCCUACAACAGAAUGUCCUGGAGAACCAUGGACGUGUAUUUAAGAUAUAAUAAGUUCGUGGGAGAACUGUGUCGAUCCGUAUCUCUGUCAAGAUCAUCCGCAGCGCACAGUCUCUAUGACUGAUUAUUUUCUGUUUCUCUUUGUUGUUUCCUUAAUAAAGCCACUUCUUUCGGAAAAAAAUACUUUUGAGAAUAAAUUCCUUUUGGGAAUACUUUUGUUUAUGGACUUGUUGCUCAGAAACUGAAGCCUCGAGCGCCUUCCUUGGUAGAUCUUUACAUUAUGUGUUCUGAGUCCUGUGCAUUAACCGUUUGUGACUAGUGCGAAGAUUUAAGAGGACAAAACGACAAAUAUGAAACGUUAUUUAACAAUAAUGGCUUUAAAGCAAUGUAAUGCGUACCUGACUAAUAACAGGUAAUUUAACAAUAAAGUGAAAGACACUAAAUGUCUUGACUAUAAAAGUUGUCAGUGUGAUUCUAAGCUCACAGGACUGGGGUUUUUUCAUUGUGCUGAAUGGUAGCGUGGCAAGAAACUUGAAGGUUGGUUGGAAACUGGUUGCAUGUCAAAUGUUAAAAUAAUUUUUAACCUGUUCAAGAGUAGCGACGGAAAUCAAACAUAAUGUAGAGUACAAUUUAUCUUCAAAUUUCUACCUGAUAGUUCACUAAGUUCGUUGUUUGCGUAUUCCAGCUGCCGUUUUUGACAUGCAAGCUGACAUCCAUAGGUUACUUGGGACAAAUGCAGAUGUUGAUUUUGAUACAGGACACGACGUAACUUUGAUACUGUUCAAAUCAGUAAAUUUCAACCCACUCUUUUCUUAUCCCCCUUAUUUUGAAAAUGUUUUAAAUCAAGUACCCUCCCAUUCACUACCAAAGAAGCUGAGGAAAGUGGAACCUACUGUAGAUCUUUUGAAAUAAGACGAUUCAUAUACUUCAAACUCUGCUGCAACAC
rnacentral:lncRNA from 1 species